rnacentral:rRNA from 1 species
UACGUAGGUGGCAAGCGUUGUCCGGAUUUACUGGGCGUAAAGAGCGCGCAGGCGGUCGUUCAAGUCGCGUGUGAAAGCCCCCGGCUCAACUGGGGAGGGUCACGCGAUACUGAUCGACUCGAAGGCAGGAGAGGGUAGUGGAAUUCCCGGUGUAGCGGUGAAAUGCGCAGAUAUCGGGAGGAACACCAAUGGCGAAGGCAGCUCGCUGGGACGGUACUGACGCUGAGGUGCGAAAGCGUGGGGAGCAAACAGG